rnacentral:rRNA from 1 species
AGUGAACGCUGGCGGUAGGCCUAACACAUGCAAGUCGAACGGCAGCACAGGAGAGCUUGCUCUCUGGGUGGCGAGUGGCGGACGGGUGAGGAAUACAUCGGAAUCUACUCUGUCGUGGGGGAUAACGUAGGGAAACUUACGCUAAUACCGCAUACGACCUACGGGUGAAAGCAGGGGACCUUCGGGCCUUGCGCGAUUGAAUGAGCCGGUGUCGGAUUAGCUAGUUGGCGGGGUAAAGGCCCACCAAGGCGUCGAUCCGUAGCUGGGCUGAGAGGAAAAUCAGCCACACUGGAACUGAGACACGGUCCAGACUCCUACGGGAGGCAGCAGUGUGGAAUAUUGGACAAUGGGCGCAAGCCUGAUCCAGCCAUACCGCGUGGGUGAAGAAGGCCUUCGGGUUGUAAAGCCCUUUUGUUGGGAAAGAAAUCCAGCUGGCUAAUACCCGGUUGGGAUGACGGUACCCAAAGAAUAAGCACCGGCUAACUUCGUGCCAGCCGCCGCGGUAA